AAGGGGUGUCACCUGACUCUGUUCCUGUCUGACCUCAUCCUGCCUGAACCACCCCACGCUUCCAGAGUGAGAAGGACCCUCUGUCCAGGGCUUAGAGUGUGUCCUGUCUCCUUGCUCCCCACCAGCAUCAAGGGGAUGAGUAGCAUUGGAGUCAGCACAGUGUCCAACCAGGAUGAAGGACAGGGCCACCUGAAGAUACAGAACUAAAGAUGGCAGGAUCUCAGAGAAGACUCAGGACCACCAGGCACUUGCAUGGCCCUUUUAUGCCCUUGGACUUCCAAGCUUCUCCUUUGGCGAAACUGCCUCAUGGGGAUGAGUGGGAUUGCAGUCAACACAGAGUCCAAUCAGGAUGAAAGAAAGACGGUGCCACCUGCAGAUACAGAGCUAAAGCCUCAUGGGGAUGAGUGGGAUUGGAGUCAACACAGUGUCCAACCAGAAUGAACGAUGGGGCCCCCUGCAGGUACUCAGCUAAAGGUAAGGGGGAGACAUGGCCUAUGGCCGCUUCAGAGAGGGCUCCUGGGCAGUUUGCAUUUUUGUGUGGGUCUCGGGUAAUCCCCUUUUGAAUCAGGCCUGACACAGUAACAAUUAGACAUCUAUUAGAAUACGCACCCAUUUCUGGGGAAGAAAAUGUAAAAAUUCUGCCUUUUCCUUUUCCUUGUCCAUGUCCGGCCUAACAUAGGCAAAUCCGCAGAAGCUCGCACACCUCUAUGUGUUUUUCACAGCAAGCCUCCAGGUAGGAGCUGUCUGGAGAUGGACCAUGAGCUGGUGGGAGGAAAACGGGUGUCUUGGGGUGGUACCUGGCUCUGUUCCUCUCUGUCCUAGCCAUGCCUGAACCACCGCAAUCUGCCAUAGUCAGAAGGGCCCUCUGUCCAGGGCUUAGAGUGUGUCCUGACUCCUUGCACCCCACAGGUAACUCUGGGACACUGGUCACUCUAGUCCUGAUUUUCAAGGUGGCCUCGGACUGACCUGUGAGAGUGCCCACAUCAGAAUGUUUCCUGGCUGGCAAAGGCUGGGGUUGGGUCCAAAGUUGUGCCCAUUCUGGAUCUUGUCCCUCAGGGCUCAAGCAGCCUCUAGUGGUCACAGUGUAGGUUGGUAAUGGGUUGGUUCCUAAGCAUUGCUAGGGGGACUGCAGGUGAACUCUCCCCUUUUGGUCAGGAAGGCAGGUGAAGAAGACCAAAGUGAGGCCAUAUUCAGGGCAGUGGUUCGCUUCUCCUCCACUUGGGCAACAGGGUGCCAUCCGCCAUGUUGGAGCCCAGUUGGAUAGUGGUUGGUGUUUUUUCCUCAGCUAAGGGCGGAGGGAGUGGACCUGGGGGAAGGGCAGGCAGGCAUUUGUGGUGCAACAGUGCCAUCCAGAGGAACUUUUUUGGUGUGCCUGCAAAGGCAGGCCUGGGGUUUCCUUGGGAGGAGUGGCUUGGGAGCGCAGUCGGGGUCCAGCAGGGACAGGGGACGGAUCCCCAGACGGAUCAGAGCUCUCUGGAGGCCCUGGGCAAGGGUGGCCCCUGGUACUUCGGGUUGUGAAAUUACCAGGGUUGAGCAGCAGGUCGAGGUGGACAGCCAGCCGCCUGGCGGGCCUGUACAGGAAGUCUGGCUGCGGAGCCUGGUGGCGGCCAUGUCUGAGCAGGACUAGCGGGAACCUGCAGGGGGGAUCAGGGGAUUGGGGCUGUAAGCUCGGGACCAGGGCUGUGGGCAGCUUGCCUGGUGCCCCUUCCCUUAGGAGUAUGGGGCAGGAUGACGUAGGUGGCUCUUUUUUUACAGUAUACUCCAGUGAGAGACCACUCCCAGACCUUGUGUUUCAGGGCCCUUUGGCGUCUGUGGUGGCCUGGGAUGAGAUGUUCUUCUGUCCUAGGGAAGGAGACUGGCCUUGCUGGUGCAUGUGACAGCCCGUGGGAUCAGCAGCUAGACUGGCCAUUGAAGCGACUUAUACAAAUCCCAGCCCAACCAAUGUAACAUAGGGUGUGUCCCUGCUUCCCUUCUCUUUUGUGUACAUGUAUCAAAUGAUCAGUGAAUUGUCUUUACCUCGGGCCCAUCUCCAUGGCAGUCACUUGUGGCUUGGGGCCUUGCUCUGCCCCUACAUCUGUGCUGUGUGGGUGCAGGGACCUGUGCUGUGUCAUUAGGAGCAGACAGUUGGGUGUUGGGGGAAGGUUUGGAAAAGGGAUACUCUGGAAAGGAAGGGUGUACUUGUUAGGCCUGCUGUAGCGGGCGAAGCCAAGAGCAUCCAGAACGAUGGAGCCCUUGGGUUUGGCCCAGGGAGUAAGUGCUGCUUGGCAGAAGGGACAGCUCAGGCAGGCUCAAUCAACAUAGCAAGUGGCAGUGGGCACUGGCUCCUUCACCCUCUGGUCCCUCUCUGUGGUGUCAGGUGGGCCCCACUGGCAGAAUGACACAAGGUUAAAGUUGGCUUGUGAGGUUGGAGCAUUGAAGACAUGACCCUUUGCAAGAAACUAUCUGGAAAGGCAGAGGCCUGGGCCACUGGGGCGUGAUUGUAAUGUGGCUGAGAACAUUGAGUAUCAGUAUGCCAGGGGAAGAGAGGUGUAUGUCCCUUAGCCCCUCUUUAUAGAAUUCAGGGGAAGGAAGGGAAGGAUGGGAUUCUUUAGAGGUCACAGGUGGGAUGUUACUGGAGAAAGGGAAACAAAUGCAGGCAGAGUGAGGUUAUGGGCCUCUGAGGACUGACCCCUUGGGAAUAAGGUGUCUUCCUUGGAGUGAGAAAAGGAGAAAAGGCCCCUAAGGAGAGUUGUCCCUCCCUCCUAUCUGAAUGCAGAGAGAUAGCCACAUGGAUUUAUGUGCCCAUCUAUGCCAGCGUGCACACAGACUUCGAUGAAAUCUCACAGUUAUCUUCCGUCUAAGCCCAGUUUGGUAGCUGUGCAUGGGCCGACUUUCCCAGGAUAAAGAGGAUAAGGUCCAGCUUUGACUUGCCUGGCCUGGGCUUUGAGGAUCAGGGAGGGGCUUUUCAGGGUGGCAGUGGUGGCCGAGGCAGCAGCAUCUAUCUGUAGAGGUAGUUGCAUAGGGUUUGGACUCCUUUGCAUUUGUCUUAAGGCCUCUCGGUCUACUUGAGUGAUUUCUAAUCCCUUCAGUUGCAUCUCUCAUGGUUUUGUAGUAAUAUCUUGAUGUUGGCUGUGGAGGAUCAGGAAGCAAACAUACAUGCUCACACACACACACACACACACCACGCAUACACAGUGAGAGUGCUGGACACAAAAGAGAAAAACAGUGAAUAUUCACGAUAGGAGAGAGAGAAAUAAAAAGGAUGGGUUGGGGAGAGACAGGGAGACAAGGAAGGAGUUAGGAGGUGGGGAAAGGCAGAGAAAGGAGUCAAAAAACACCUUGUUGUAGGAAUCUUGCACAGAAGUUUCUGGUGUGAAGUUCUGGAGGUGGGCAGGGAGACAGUAGCUCGGGUGUCCUGUGUCCCCUCUGUUUACUGUGAAUUGUGUACAGAGUAGUGUCCCUGGGCCAUGUGUUAUCUGCACGUA